AAACAUUUCUUCACCUCAGAAAGCAGAGUUGUUUCCAGUUGCCAGCUUCUUUCCACAUUCUCAGAUCAGCCUCAUUGUGCUACCUAGAAAGCCCUUCUUAAAUGUCUGAAUCCAAGACUUGCGGGGGAUUCCUCCUCUGAGCAAAUGGAGCAUUAGUAGCAGUCAGAGAUGCCAUCUUCUCAGAGCUCUGCAGAGGAGCCAUUGAAGAAUACUGUUGUCCUAUCCCAGAAGGAGCAAGCGGACAACACUGAUAUCCUGACCACUAACCAUCCAGCACCACUUAAAGAGGUCCCAAAACCCCCGGCUGUCUACCAAUACCCAUCUGUGACCUCUUAGGAACCGAGCUUCACAGCAGGAGGUGAAUGGUGGACAAGCGAGCAUUAUCGCCUCAGCUCCACCUCCUGUCAGUUUUAAAAAGAAUAACAGAAAGAAAGAAGUGGCUGAAACCUAAAUGCCAUAUGGAGAAGACAGCUAAUUGCCACACUCUCCUCUUUGGUCUUUCCUGGUACGCAGCAUACAAGCCCACAGAUUGAGGACUCUGCACUUGCUGUUCUCUCUGCCUGGAGCUCUAUGGCUCCAGAUAGACUCCUGCCAACUCCUUCGCCUUGUCCAAGUUACCUUCAUUAAAUGUCAGCUUAAAUGUGUGCCUACUUUUUGCCCUACCUAGAAUUGCAAGCACCUCUCACCACUGUGCUCCCAUUCUCCUUAACUUAAGCCACUUUUAUUCUCAUAAUAAAGCCACAUAUUUUUUCUUAUUAUAUCAUAAUCGUACUGUAUAAUUUAUAUUUUAUUACUUUUGUUUGUAUACUUAUUGUAUGUUUCUGUUCACAAGGAUGUAAACCCCAUGAACACAGAGAUCUUUGAUUGUUUUAUUCACUGAUUUAUGCCAAAUGUUUGGAACAAUGCCUGGCACAUAGUAGAUGUUUGAUAAUUUUUUUUUUUUCUGAAUGAAUAAAUACAUUUUAGCCAAAUAUGCUGACUCUGCUUGUUUGGUUAUAUUUAUGUGUGUGUGAAUGUAUGUGCAGAAAAAGAAGAAAUUAGUUAAUACCAAAUCUAUAAAAUGGGAAAAAUAAUGCUUACCUUAUAGUGUUGUUAUGAAACUCAACUAAUAUAAGAUAUGUGAAGGGUCUAGCAUAAAAUG
rnacentral:lncRNA from 1 species